GUAAUUCCGUCGACCGUUUAGUCUCGCCCUAACGAUGCCUGAUGUCUUUGGAAACAAGAUAACAGGUCUCAAUUGCGAACAGAUCUCUACACGUAGUAGAUAGGUGUGCCAAAAACGUCCUGCCUAUGCGCAAGCAGCCAUGAGAGGUGGUGGCGUGUUGGCGCCAGUUUUACUAGUAAUACUUUUAAGUGGCAUUGCCGCUGCACCAAUUAACCUUGUAUCUACAUCAGCCUAUAGUGUUUCUGGAGAAACAAGAGGGCUAGAGGUACCCAUGGAUCUCGUGGCAGGAGUCGGAAUUGGCAUGAGUUCAGUACAACUUGUUGUCAAUGUGCAUACUGACAGCGCUGGAAAUAUUGAAGUUCAGACAAACUAAAGUAACAAAAGGAAAAGUGUAUAUAGAACAAACAAUACAGCUGAGUUUUCUCUCUGUAAACGUAAUUGUAUUGUACUUGACAUAUUUAUAAUUUGACGUUUAGACAAAACACAAUUUUAGUCACAUCAAUUUGACAUAACUCAUAACAAUUUGACAGAUAACAAUGUCUUACGGUGAUGCAUUAAUUACAGAAAUUAACGAACGUCAGCCUCAUUUUGUGAAACAAUUAAAUCGGUUUUAACAAUGGUUAACGCAAUUUAUAUUUGCGGAGCUUUAAACAGCCCAGCUUUACCUGUCACUCAAUUAAUUAAAAAAAUAUAAAACACAUGCCUCCAAUACAGUAUAUAAAAAUUGAAUGUUUGAUGAAAAUGUAAUUGAAAUCGGAUAUAAAAAUAAGGACCAUAUACGGUAUAAUAAUGUUAUCUUUUUACAAUUGAACGGAAUCGCGUAUCAGCUUAUCAUUGUCGAUAAAAGCAACGUUUCAAACAUUGCUCACGACAUGUUUUAUCAAGCGUGUACAUUGAUUUCUGCGUUUAAGAUCUGCUUUCAUACUUACGGGUGUAAAUAUGGCAAUGUAGAUCGGUUAAUUUUUAUAAGUUUAUUUUCUUAAUAGAAUAUUUGUAACUACGACUGCUUUGGACACGGAGAACGUCUAAUUUUUUUUAAUAAUUUAAUUUUCUUUAAUUCGUACUUUUAUAUAAUAUAUUUAAGAC